UACGUAGGGUGCAAGCGUUGUCCGGAAUUAUUGGGCGUAAAGAGCUCGUAGGCGGUUUGUCGCGUCUGCUGUGAAAACCCGGGGCUCAACUUCGGGCUUGCGGUCGAUACGGGCGGGCUAGAGUUCGGUAGGGGAGACUGGAAUUCCUGGUGUAGCGGUGAAAUGCGCAGAUAUCAGGAGGAACACCGGUGGCGAAGGCGGGUCUCUGGGCCGAUACUGACGCUGAGGAGCGAAAGCGUGGGGAGCGAACAGG
rnacentral:rRNA from 1 species